AGUGAACGCUGGCGGUAGGCCUAACACAUGCAAGUCGAACGGCAGCACAGUAAGAGCUUGCUCUUACGGGUGGCGAGUGGCGGACGGGUGAGGAAUACAUCGGAAUCUACUUUUUCGUGGGGGAUAACGUAGGGAAACUUACGCUAAUACCGCAUACGACCUACGGGUGAAAGCAGGGGAUCUUCGGACCUUGCGCGAUUGAAUGAGCCGAUGUCGGAUUAGCUAGUUGGCGGGGUAAAGGCCCACCAAGGCGACGAUCCGUAGCUGGUCUGAGAGGAUGAUCAGCCACACGGGAACUGAGACACGGUCCAGACUCCUACGGGAGGCAGCAGUGGGGAAUAUUGGACAAUGGGCGCAAGCCUGAUCCAGCCAUACCGCGUGGGUGAAGAAGGCCUUCGGGUUGUAAAGACCUUUUGUGGGGAAAGAAAAGCAGCAGGUUAAUACCCCGCUGUUCUGACGGUACCCAAAGAAUAAGCACCGGCUAACUUCGUG
rnacentral:rRNA from 1 species